CGCUGGCGGCGUGCCUAACACAUGCAAGUCGAACGGAAGCAGAGAUUUCGGUUUCUGCUUUAGUGGCGAACGGGUGAGUAACGCGUGAGAAACCUGCCUUUCAGUGGGGGACAACAGUUGGAAACGACUGCUAAUACCGCAUAACAUAUCGAAGGGGCAUCCUUUUGAUAUCAAAGCUUUAUGUGCUGAAAGAUGGUCUCGCGUCUGAUUAGCUAGUUGGUGAGGUAACGGCUCACCAAGGCGACGAUCAGUAGCCGGUCUGAGAGGAUGAACGGCCACAUUGGGACUGAGAUACGGCCCAGACUCCUACGGGAGGCAGCAGUGGGGAAUAUUGGGCAAUGGGGGAAACCCUGACCCAGCAACGCCGCGUGAAGGAAGAAGGCCUUCGGGUUGUAAACUUCUUUUACCAGGGACGAAGAACGUGACGGUACCUGGAGAAAAAGCAACGGCUAACUACGUG
rnacentral:rRNA from 1 species